UGGGGGAUAUUGCACAAUGGGCGAAAGCCUGAUGCAGCGACGCCGCGUGGGGGAUGAAGGCCUUCGGGUUGUAAACUUCUUUUGCUCUGAACAAGGCGCACCAUGGGGUGUGUUGAGUGUAGGGGUUGAUUAGCGCCGGCUAACUACGUGCCAGCAGCCGCGGUAAUACGUAGGGCGCGAGCGUUGUCCGGAAUUAUUGGGCGUAAAGGGCUUGUAGGUGGCUGGUUGCGUCUGUCGUGAAAGCUCAUGGCUCAACUGUGGGUUUGCGGUGGGUACGGGCUGGCUUGAGUGCAGUAGGGGAGGCUGGAAUUCCUGGUGUAGCGGUGGAAUGCGCAGAUAUCAGGAGGAAUACCGGUGGCGAAGGCGGGUCUCUGGGCUGUUACUGACACUGAGGAGCGAAAGCAUGGGGAGCGAACAGG
rnacentral:rRNA from 1 species